rnacentral:misc_RNA from 1 species
AAGUCGUAACAAGGUAACCGUAGGUGAACCUGCGGUUGGAUCAUUAAUAAAUUUAUUAAAGGUAAUUGUGUUUGAAAGAACCUUUUACUCUUUAAACAAAUUUGUGAACCUUUAAAAGUCUUUUGGGGUAAAUUAUGUAUUUAGUUGCCCCAAAAUCAUAUCUUAAACAAAUAUUUUUAAAAAUCAAGUCUUUAAAAUCAUUUUAAAUUAAAUUUUAAAAACAACUUUUGACAACGGAUCUCUUGGCUCUC